GAAACCAACAGGGAUUGCCUCAGUAACGGCGAGUGAAGCGGCAACAGCUCAAAUUUGAAAUCUGGCGCCUUCGGCGUCCGAGUUGUAAUUUGUAGAGGAUGCUAUUGGGUUGCCACCGGUCUAAGUUCCUUGGAACAGGACGUCACAGAGGGUGAGAAUCCCGUAUGUGACCGGCCAGGCGCCUUCUGUAUAGCUCCUUCGACGAGUCGGGUUGUUUGGGAAUGCAGCCCUAAAUGGGAGGUAAAUUUCUUCUAAAGCUAAAUACCGGCCAGAGACCGAUAGCGCACAAGUAGAGUGAUCGAAAGAUGAAAAGCACUUUGGAAAGAGAGUUAAAAAGCACGUGAAAUUGUUGAAAGGGAAGCGCUUGCAAUCAGUCUCGACGGCGGCUGUUCGGCCUCUCUUCUGAGUGGUUUAUUCAGUCGCCGCCGGGCCAGCAUCAGUUUUGGCGGUCGGAUAAAGGCGUGGGGAAUGUAGCUCCUCCGGGAGUGUUAUAGCCCCGCGUGCAAUACGGCCCGCCGGGACUGAGGUCCGCGCUUCGGCUAGGAUGCUGGCGAAAUGGUUGUAAGCGGCCCGUCUUGAAACACGGACCAAGGAGUCUAACAUCUACGCGAGUGUUUGGGUGUCAAACCCGUGCGCGCAAUGAAAGUGAACGGAGGUGGGAACCGCAAGGUGCACCAUCGACCGAUCCUGAUGUCUUCGGAUGGAUUUGAGUAAGAGCGUAGCUGUUGGGACCCGAAAGAUGGUGAACUAUGCCUGAAUAGGGUGAAGCCAGAGGAAACUCUGGUGGAGGCUCGCAGCGGUUCUGACGUGCAAAUCGAUCGUCAAAUUUGGGUAUAGGGGCGAAAGACUAAUCGAACCAU
rnacentral:rRNA from 1 species